CCCUCCCUCUUUCUUCAGGCUUAACACAUGCAAGUCGAGCGCCCCGCAAGGGGAGCGGCAGACGGGUGAGUAACGCGUGGGCACGUACCUUUUGGUUCGGAACAACUCCGGGACACUGGAGCUAAUACCGGAUAAGCCCUAACGGGGAAAGAUUUAUCGCCGAAAGCUCGGCCCGCGUCUGAUUAGCUCGUUGGUGAGGUAACGGCUCACCAAGGCGACGAUCAGUAGCUGGUCUGAGAGGAUGAUCAGCCACACUGGGCCUGAGACACGGCCCAGACUCGUACGGGGGGCAGCAGUGGGGAAUAUUGGACAAUGGGCGCAAGCCUGAUCCAGCCAUGCCGGGUGAGUGAUGAAUGCCUUAGUGUUGUAAAGCUCUUUUGUCCGGGAAGAUAAUGACGGUACCGGAAGAAUAAGCCCCGGCUAACUUCGUG
rnacentral:rRNA from 1 species